GCCUACGGGACGCAGCAGUAGGGAAUCUUCGGCAAUGGGCGAAAGCCUGACCGAGCAACGCCGCGUGAAUGAAGAAGGCCUUCGGGUUGUAAAAUUCUGUUAUAAGGGAAGAAAGGUGAUAGGAGGAAAUGACUAUCAAUUGACGGUACCUUAUGAGAAAGCCACGGCUAACUACGUGCCAGCAGCCGCGGUAAUACGUAGGUGGCAAGCGUUAUCCGGAAUUAUUGGGCGUAAAGAGCGCGCAGGUGGUUAAUUAAGUCUGAUGUAAAAGGCGUUGGCUCAACCAACGUAAGCUUUGGAAACUU
rnacentral:rRNA from 1 species